UUACUGAGUUUACGCUCUAUAACCCUUUGUGAACAUACCUAUAACUGUUGCUUCGGCGGGCAGGGUCUCCGUGACCCUCCCGGCCUCCCGCCCCCGGGCGGGUCGGCGCCCGCCGGAGGAUAACCAAACUCUGAUUUAACGACGUUUCUUCUGAGUGGUACAAGCAAAUAAUCAAAACUUUUAACAACGGAUCUCUUGGUUCUGGCAUCGAUGAAGAACGCAGCGAAAUGCGAUAAGUAAUGUGAAUUGCAGAAUUCAGUGAAUCAUCGAAUCUUUGAACGCACAUUGCGCCCGCCAGCAUUCUGGCGGGCAUGCCUGUUCGAGCGUCAUUUCAACCCUCAAGCUCUGCUUGGUGUUGGGGCCCUACAGCUGAUGUAGGCCCUCAAAGGUAGUGGCGGACCCUCCCGGAGCCUCCUUUGCGUAGUAACUUUACGUCUCGCACUGGGAUCCGGAGGGACUCUUGCCGUAAAACCCCCCAAUUUUCCAAAGGUUGACCUCGGAUCAGGUAGGAAUACCCGCUGAACUUAAGCAUAUCAAUAAGCGGAGGAAAAGAAACCAACAGGGAUUGCCUCAGUAACGGCGAGUGAAGCGGCAACAGCUCAAAUU
rnacentral:rRNA from 1 species